GCUGCCGUCACCCUGAACUUCUGUUCCUCUGUCAGGCCAGCCGGGGCCCAACUCGCACCGGCCUGAGGCUUGCCACUGAGGGAAACCCGUUUAGCGGUUCAAUACCUCAUCCGGCCAUCCUUCUCGAAGCCGCCGCUCUCCAGCCGCCGCCAUCUUGUGCGCCGCGCGCUUCAGCUUCGCCAGUAGCCGCCCCCUUGUCGCGUCAGCACCGCUGCUCGGCAGCCCGCCCGCCCUCUUCAGGAUCACACGCCCACUCGGCAGGCGCGAGGAUUCCCUGAGCGCCGGCUCAUCUUGCGAUCCUUGUUGCUGAGGCCAAAUCAUGGGCUCCCUCGCCCUGUCGUUUCUGUCUUUGUAAAAGUUCCUUAGGAAGUCUUAUUAUUGAUCCAAGAAGGUGAAGUCCGAAGGCAAGAGACCGCCUUUUCCUAGCUGAGGCUUGGCGCCGAAACAACCGACGUGCCACGCGGCUUACCUACAACCCUAUUACGUUUAAACUUAGCCGCAAAUAGGUACCCCGGGCCUUUGCAGUUCGUGCACUACCGUUUUUACAAAUGGUGUUUGCAGAAAGCGGGAAGCGAGAAAUGGUUCUCAACAGACGGUGGAUGUGACCUGGCCCCAAGUGUGCUUACUCAAAACAAACUCCUGCUGCAGUUUUUGAAAAUCUCAAAGACUUUUUUCCCAAGAACUGGUUUCCACUCCUGGACAAAACUUUUCAUAUUGACUAUCAGUCUGCUUGCUUGGACGUCUUCAUAUCCAGCUACAAGUGAAGGGCAAGAGCAUAUAUUCAACUCAGGAUGCUGCCGCCACAUCUCAGCUCAGAAUUCCCUGGUCCUGGAAAUCUGCAGAUGUCUUGAGGAGGAAAAGUCCACCUUUUAACAUUUUCAAGAUAAGAUGGCUCGGGCUGAAAUAAGUUGUU